UACGUAGGUGGCGAGCGUUAUCCGGAAUGAUUGGGCGUAAAGGGUGCGUAGGCGGCCUGCUAAGUCUGGAGUGAAAGGUACCGGCUCAACCGGUACAGGCUCUGGAAACUGGCGGGCUAGAGAGCAGGAGAGGGCGGUGGAACUCCAUGUGUAGCGGUAAAAUGCGUAGAUAUAUGGAAGAACACCAGUGGCGAAGGCGGCAUCCUGGUCUGCAACUGACACUGAGGCGCGAAAGCGUGGGGAGCAAACAGG
rnacentral:rRNA from 1 species